UACGUAGGGACCAAGCGUUGUUCGGAUUUACUGGGCGUAAAGGGCGCGUAGGCGGCAAUUCAAGUCAGCUGUGAAAUCUCCGAGCUUAACUCGGAACGGUCAGCUGAUACUGCUUUGCUAGAGUACAGAAGGGGCAAUCGGAAUUCUUGGUGUAGCGGUGAAAUGCGUAGAUAUCAAGAGGAACACCUGAGGUGAAGACGGGUUGCUGGGCUGAUACUGACGCUGAGGCGCGAAAGCGUGGGGAGCAAACAGG
rnacentral:rRNA from 1 species